UAACGGCCAACAAGGCGAUGAUCAGUAGCCGGUCUGAGAGGAUGAACGGCCACAUUGGGACUGAGACACGGCCCAGACUCCUACGGGAGGCAGCAGUGGGGAAUCUUCCGCAAUGGACGAAAGUCUGACGGAGCAACGCCGCGUGAGUGAAGAAGGUCUUCGGAUUGUAAAACUCUGUUAUACGGGACGAAAAAGGCGGAUGCCAACAGUAUCCGUCCGUGACGGUACCGUAAGAGAAAGCCACGGGCUAACUACGUGCCAGCAGCCGCGGUAAAU
rnacentral:rRNA from 1 species